rnacentral:rRNA from 1 species
AUUGAACGCUGGCGGCAGGCCUAACACAUGCAAGUCGAGCGGAGCGGCUGACGGGUGCUUUCUGCCUAUUUAUCUGCCUGGUAUUGGGGGCUAACGUCCGGAACCGGGCGCUAUUACCGCAUCCUCUCAGAUUCGCCUAUGUCGUAUUAGCUAGUUGGUGGGGUAAAGGCCUACCAAGGCGACGAUCCGUAACUGGUCUGAGAGGAUGAUCAGUCACACUGGAACUGUGACACGGGCCAGACUCCUACGGGAGGCAGCAGUGGGGAAUAUUUGACAAUGGGCGAAAGCCUGAGCCAGCCAUGCCGCGUGUGUGAAGAAGGUCUUCGGAUUGUAAAGCACUUUAAGUUGGGAGGCGUUACGAACAGAAGAAGCACCGGCUAACUUCGUGCCAGCAGCCGCGGUAAUUG